UACGUAGGGACCGAGCGUUGUCCGGAAUCAUUGGGCGUAAAGAGAGUGUAGGAGGCCUGUUAAGUCUUGCGUGAAAUCUCGGGGCUCAACCCUGAGCGGUCGUGAGAAACUGGCAGGCUAGAGUGCGGGAGAGGAGAGUGGAAUUCCUGGUGUAGCGGUGAAAUGCGCAGAUAUCAGGAAGAACACCCGUGGCUAAGGCGGCUCUCUAGUACGGUACUGACGCUGAGACGCGAAAGCGUGGGGAGCGAACAGG
rnacentral:rRNA from 1 species